AGGCGGGUAGCUCAGCUGGGAGAGCACGGCCCUUACAAGGCCGGGGUCGCGAGUUCGAUCCUCGCCCCGCCUACCA
rnacentral:tRNA from 1 species